rfam:Brassica napus, WGS project CCCW01000000 data, contig: 20934
GAGUGUAAUCACAUCAGCACUAAUACACCGGAUCACAUUGGAAAUCCGCAAGUAAACAUGUUGAAACAAGAAUAGUGUUAGGAUAGAUGACCUCUCGGGAAGUUUUUAUGUUGCCCCGA